rnacentral:piRNA from 1 species
UGUAUUUGCCUAGAAAACCUCUGUCUGAUCUC